rnacentral:rRNA from 1 species
AAGUGGGGGACAACGUUCCGAAAGGGACGCUAAUACCGCAUAAGUUCUCAGGGACUCCGGUCUUUGAGAGAAAGCUAGGUAGCAAUAUCUGGCGCUUGAUGAGGAGCCUGCGUCGCAUCAGCUAGUUGGUGGGGUAACGGCCUACCAAGGCGAAGACGCGUAGCUGGUCUGAGAGGAUGAUCAGCCACACUGGGACUGAGACACGGCCCAGACUCCUACGGGAGGCAGCAGUGGGGGAAUAUUGGACAAUGGGCGCAAGCCUGACCCAGCGACGCCGCGUGGGUGAUGAAGGCCUUCGGGUCGUAAAGCCUUGUCAGGAGGAACGAAUGGUUCUAGGGCAAAUAGUCCUAGGGCGUGACGGUACCUCUGAAGGAAGCACCGGCCAACUCCGUGCCAGCAGCCGCGGUAA